AUUAUUUUAAGAUUAUUUUUUAUUGUUGAAAAAAUUAAAAAUAAAUUGUUUUUAACAAAAAUUAAAAUUUAUAAUAUUUCAUUUUUUGGUUUUUUGUUUUAAAUUAAAAUAAUAAAUAUGGGGGAAAAAAAAAUUUUGUUAUAAAUUAUAUUAGUUUAUUUUAAUUAAAAAUAUUUUUUAUUAAAUUUGUUUUUUUUAUUUUUUUAUAAAAAAUAUUAAUUUAAUUAUUAUUAUUGAGUUUAAUUUAGUUAUUUUUAAAAAAAUUUUGUAUAAAAUAAAUUUGAUAAUAAAUGUUUUUUAAAUUCUUUGGGGGUUUAGUUUAUGAUUUUUUGUUUCUGCUCAUUGUUAAAUAAUCAAGCACUUUUAGCGUGAUGGCCAAAAAGUAAA
rnacentral:rRNA from 1 species